rnacentral:lncRNA from 1 species
AUGCACCGUUCCCUCCACCUGGAACUCUGCUGGGACGUCAUCUUAGCUCAACCACCACUUCCUUUAGUUCUCUGCUCCGUGACCCUUUAUGGAGACAGGACCUUCUGUGACCCCCCCACACACAGACACACACACACUUUCUCCACCAUCCUGGCCCUGCAUUACUCUCCCCUGGGCACUCAGCCCCUCCCGGCACACACGUUUGUGGGUGGACUGUCCGUCUCCCACUGGAACGGAAGCUCCGGGGUGCAGGAAUUCGGCCCCUCGGUUUUGUGCUGUACAGGACACACAGCACACGGCACACGCUCUAGAAACACCGGGAACAAACACUUCUCUGGAACGCUCCCCGAGGUCUCCUGCGGCGAGCACUGGAGACAAGUGAACUCAGCAACAUUUCCUCCCACAUUCGAAGUUUGCCUCGAGAAUGUCCUUCCCGAGCUGAUCCCGCCCACCUGUUGGAAGCACAGCCCUCCCGUCAGUGUGGACGCGGCCCUCCUCUGCAUGGCUGCCCCAUCCUCCCAGCAGAAGCAGCUUCCCGUCUGGAACCUCCGCGCUGCUCUGCUGGAGUUCGCACUGCGCUCUGGCCGUCGGUGGUCCCUGGUCAUCCCCUGGCCCCCCCUGCCACCCUUGCCAUCCCUGCCCAGCGGCACUUCCACGCUGCAGUCAGGAACACUCCAGGGUCUCCCAGCCCACAGGCAGGACCCCGCCUCGCAAGGCCAGAGGUGGUUUGCCCACGGGUCCAGUGCGCCCCCGUGAGUCGCACAAUUAGUAAUUACCAGGCACCCCUCUGCAGAGGUCCCUUUAAGGAACUUACUACCUAGUUGAAGAAGUGACUCUAAAACAUGUAGAAAUGAUCAAUUUAAUAGACAAGCCCGGAGUGAGAUGCCAUUCACCAGAGCCCAGUCGGGAAGCUUGCCAGGCCUGGAGCGGAAACUGGAAUCAGGGUCCUGCAGCAGAAGGCAGGCGGGAGGAGCGAGGGCUCCACGGGGGUGGCCAGCCUGCCUGGUUUGAACAACAGCAACGACAAGGACAGCAGUAGCAAUAACAACAGCGAUUUUGUUACAAACUGACGGUAGAGAGAGGCCGUAUCCUCACCCUCUUCCUGCUCUGGGGGGAAGAGCGUUGUCCUUCACCAGUAAUACGAUGCCAGCUCAGAUUUUCCACAAACGCCCUUCACCGGGCUGAGGAAAUCCCCCAGUUCCUAACUUGCUAAGAUUUUUAUCAGGAGUGAUGUUGGAUUUUGUCAGCUGCCUUCUGCAUCUAUUGAGAUGAUCAUGCAGUUUUCCUUUUAUUGUCUAUUAAUACAGUGAUUUACAUCGGUUGACUUUCAAUGUUAAGCCAACUUUGCAUUCCUGGGAUAAAACUCACUUGAUCAUGGUGUGUUAUCCUGUUUAUAUAUUAUUGGAUUCAGUUCGCUACAAUUUGACUAGAACAUUUUUACAUCUGUGGUAGUGAAAGAUAUGGACCCACAGUUAUCUUUUCUUGUAACGUCUUUGUCUGAUUUUGGUAUCCGGGUAACACUGGCCUCAUAGGAUCCAUCAAAUAAUGUUCUCUCCUCUUUUAUUUCCUGAAAGAGUUUGUGUAGAAUUGGUGUUAUUUUGUAUUGAAAUGUUUGGUACGGGGCAAACACCCAGGCCUGCAGUUUUCUUUGUAGGAACCUGUUUAACUACAAAUCCAAUUUCUUUAAUAGAAAUAGGACUAUUCAGGUUCUCUAUUUCUUCAUGAGUGAGCUUGGGUAGUUUGUCUCUUUUAACGA